UACGGGGGGAGCAAGCGUUGUUCGGAUUUACUGGGCGUAAAGGGCGCGUAGGCGGCCACCGCAAGUCGACUGUGAAAUCUCCGGGCUUAACCCGGAAAGGUCAGCCGAUACUGCGGGGCUAGAGUGCAGAAGGGGCAACUGGAAUUCUCGGUGUAGCGGUGAAAUGCGUAGAUAUCGAGAGGAACACCUGCGGCGAAGGCGGGUUGCUGGGCUGACACUGACGCUGAGGCGCGAAAGCUAGGGGAGCAAACGGG
rnacentral:rRNA from 1 species